CGGACGGGUGAGUAAUGUAUGGGGAUCUGCCUGAUGGCGGGGGAUAACUACUGGAAACGGUAGCUAAUACCGCAUAAUGUCUACGGACCAAAGCGGGGGACCUCCGGGCCUCGCGCCAUCAGAUGAACCCAUAUGGGAUUAGCUAGUAGGUGGGGUAACGGCUCACCUAGGCGACGAUCCCUAGCUGGUCUGAGAGGAUGACCAGCCACACUGGAACUGAGACACGGCCCAG
rnacentral:rRNA from 1 species